rnacentral:lncRNA from 1 species
UCCAGUAUAGCAUGACUAAUCUCGUUGCAAGCAAAAGGUCAACCAAAACUAUCAAUUAAACAGAGCCAUGUGUAAAUCACCAAGCCCUCCCCUUAGGUCACCUAAUAUUUUUCCAAAGAAAGAAAGGACACCUCUACUUCCGACAACAAUAUUGGGGAUCAUGUGUCCUGAAUACGUAUUUAGAAACAUUGCAUCAAUAACAGCUGCAGAGCAAUAUACAGGGGACUCACCCACUAAAUCCAUACCAUACAUUGACAGGUGGAAUUGGAAUACCUACAUUGACAGGUGGAAUUGGAAUACCUGGUGUUCAAGUUACAGAUUCAGUAAUCUUGAGCUACAGGUCAAACCUAUACAACCCUAAAACUUUGCAAUCCAACAACCAAGACAACCUGUUAAAUCAAGUUAU